GACGAACGCUGGCGGCGUGCCUAAUACAUGCAAGUCGAACGAGAGCGACCGGUGCUUGCACUGGUCAAUCUAGUGGCGAACGGGUGAGUAACACGUGGGUAACCUGCCCAUCAGAGGGGGAUAACAUCCGGAAACGGAUGCUAAAACCGCAUAGGUCUUCGAACCGCAUGGUUUGAAGAGGAAAAGAGGCGCAAGCUUCUGCUGAUGGAUAGACCCGCGGUGCAUUAGCUAGUUGGUGAGGUAACGGCUCACCAAGGCCGUGAUGCAUAGCCGACCUGAGAGGGUGAUCGGCCACAUUGGGACUGAGACACGGCCCAAACUCCUACGGGAGGCAGCAGUAGGGAAUCUUCCGCAAUGGACGCAAGUCUGACGGAGCAACGCCGCGUGAGUGAAGAAGGUUUUCGGAUCGUAAAACUCUGUUGUUAGAGAAGAACAAGUGCUAGAGUAACUGUUAGCGCCUUGACGGUAUCUAACCAGAAAGCCACGGCUAACUACGUG
rnacentral:rRNA from 1 species